AUCGCUUAUUGGCCUUUUGGCUAAGAUCAAGUGUA
rnacentral:snRNA from 1 species